rnacentral:rRNA from 1 species
AUCCCUCUCCACUAACAGGCCAACCUAUCACAAUAGGAGAAUUAAUGCUAGAAUGAGUAACCAGGGUCCUCCCUCUACGACGCAAGCUUACAUCUGUACAUUAUUAACAAAUCACCAAUAUACGACAAAUCCAACAAGCAGAGUAUUAAGUAAAUUGUUAACCCGACAGAGGAGCGUCCGUUAAGAAAGAUUAAAACCUGUGAAAGGAACUCGGCAAACACAAGGCCCGACUGUUUACCAAAAACAUAGCCUUCAGCAAAUCCAAGAGACAAGUAUUGAAGGUGAUGCCUGCCCGGUGACCUGAGGUUAAACGGCCGCGGUAUCCUGACCGUGCGAAGGUAGCGCAAUCAAUUGUCCCGUAAAUCGGGACACGUAUGAAUGGCUAAACGAGGUCUUAACUGUCUCUCACAGGCAAUCGGUGAAAUUGAUCUCCCUGUACGAAAGCAGGGAUAACCACAUAAGACGAGAAGACCCUGUGGAACUUCAAAAACAGCAGCCACCCCAAAUAACAUUCACACCCAAAGCACUGGCUUGCAUUUUUUCGGUUGGGGCAACCUUGGAGCAAAACAGAACCUCCAAAAAUUGGACCAUACAUCCAAACUAAGAGCGACAUCUCAACGUGCGCACAGCACCCAGACCCAAUAUAAUUGAUCAAUGGACCAAGCUACCCCAGGGAUAACAGCGCAAUCUCCCCCAAGAGUCCAUAUCGACGGGGAGGUUUACGACCUCGAUGUUGGAUCAGGACAUCCUAGUGGUGCAGCAGCUACUAAGGGCUCGUUUGUUCAACGAUUAACAGUCCUACGUGAUCUGAGUUCAGACCGGAGCAAUCCAGGUCGGUUUCCAUCUAUGAUGAACUCUUCCUCGUACGAAAGGAUCGGAAAAGUGAGGCCAAUACCACAAGCAAGCCUUCGCCUUAAGUAAUGAAGCCAACUCAAUUACAAAAGGCUAUCAAACUCCACCACGUCCUAGAAAAGGACACCA